GAUGAACGCUGGCGGCGUGCUUAACACAUGCAAGUCGAACGAUGAUCCGGUGCUUGCAUCGGGGAGUAGUGGCGAACGGGUGAGUAACACGCGAGUAACCUGCCCUUAACUCUGGGAUAAGCAUGGGAAACUGGGUCUAAUACAGGAUAUGACUCCUCAGCGCAUGGUGGGCGGGGGAAAACCUUUGUGGUUUUGGCUCGACUCGCGGCCUAUCAGCUUGUUGGUGAGGUGAUGGCUCACCAAGGCGACGGCGGGUAGCCGGCCUGCGAGGGGGGCCGGCCACACUGGGGCUGAGACACGGCACAGACUCCUACGGGGGGCAGCAGUGGGGAAUAGUGCACCAUGGGCGGACGCCUGAUGCAGCGACGCCGCGUGAGGGAUGACGGCCUUCGGGUUGUAAACCUCUUUCAGUAGGGAAGAAGCGGAAGUGACGGUACCUGCAGAGGAAGCGCCGGCUAACUACGUGCCAGCAGCCGCGGUAACAC
rnacentral:rRNA from 1 species